CCUACGGGAGGCAGCAGUAGGGAAUCUUUCACAAUGGGCGAAAGCCUGAUGGAGCAACGCCGCGUGCAGGCUGAAGGCCUUCGGGUUGUAAACUGCUUUUAUAAGCGAGAAAUAUGAUGGUAACUUAUGAAUAAGGAUCGGCUAACUACGUGCCAGCAGCCGCGGUCAUACGUAGGAUCCGAGCAUUAUCCGGAGUGACUGGGUGUAAAGAGUUGCGUAGGUGGCAUAAUAAGUAGCUAGUGAAAUCUGGUGGCUCAACCAUUCAGACUAUUAGCUAAACUGUUAAGCUCGAGACCGUUAGGGGUAACUGGAAUUUCUAGUGUAGGAGUGAAAUCCGUAGAUAUUAGAAGGAACACCAAUAGCGUAGGCAGGUUGCUGGGACGGUUCUGACACUAAGGCACGAAAGCGUAGGGAGCAAACGGGAUUAGAUACCCCUGUAGUC
rnacentral:rRNA from 1 species